rnacentral:rRNA from 1 species
AUGAUGAUAUAUUCCAUAAGCAAAAUAUUACUGUACUCCCCAUUGAUCUUUGUAGUUAAUGGCAUUUUUUCAGACAAUGGCUGUGCUACUAAUUCUCCUCUUUCAUCUCGAGAAAUGUUUGGACAGCAAUCGUUUAGUGCAAUGGGUUCUGCUGAAAAGUCUUUACUAGCUAUGCCACCUCAUCAAUCUAAUGAAAGUUUUCUGAAAGCUUAUGAAGUGGUGCUGAUAUUGGAUGAUCGAGAUACUUUCGGGCCCCGUUCCAGAAGAAAAGUUGUUGAUAAUAUACGCUCACAGUUUAAUAUUCCCGUAGAGAUUAAACACUUGCCUGUUGGAGAUGCUCUUUGGAUUGCUCGCCAUAAAGAACUUGACACGGAUUAUGUUCUUGAUUUCAUUGUUGAAAGGAAAAAUGUGGAUGAUUUACUUGGCUCAAUUAAAGACAACAGAUACAAAGAUCAAAAACUAAGACUGAAGAAAUGUGGGCUAAGGAAGCUAAUAUAUCUAGUUGAAGGGGAUGUAAACACUAUAGAUAGAUCAGAGAGCGUUAAAACAGCUUGCUUCACUACUGAGGUUCUUGAAGGAUUUGAUGUCCAAAGAACCACUGGGUAUGCUGACACUGAAAAUAAAUAA